rnacentral:lncRNA from 1 species
AAAAAAAAAAAAAAAAAACCACAGGUCAAAACUUAAGACUGACUGUAAUGAUCUUUUCUUACAGUAUUGGAUCAUUGGUAGACAAUUUGCAAUUUGUUGCCUACAUCCACUCGCAAUACAAUUUCACUUUGCACUUCAAGACUGAAACACAUUGUAGGCAUUCCAGAAAUUUCAAAUUCUUCAUUUUCUUAUCGUCUCAUCUUUGCACAUGUUCCAGAUUAUUCAAAAAAUGUGAAUAUCUUUUUUUUUUCUGAUUAGACUGUGUAUGGACUUUUUUGUGUUAGGGAAGCUGAUUGACUAAUCUUCUGAGUUACUAUAGUUUUUCUUCUCAAGACGGUAUUAAAUUCACUCUAGAAUUUGUUUGUCCAUUCUUUUGGUACAAGCAUUUAAAGAAUCCAUGGUGUAUGAGUACAUAGUUGCCUUAAAGCUAAUGUAUUUCAUGUGUUUCCCUUGACAUCUUUUGAGGUGCAGGUGGGAUCGAGAAGCUACGAAGCAAUAAGGAUUUUCCAGGUAAGGUUCCAUUCUAUUGAAAAUGGAAGAAGAUGACAUUACAUUGAUAUGACUCCAUAUAUAAUUUAAUUUAAUUUGGCAGUUCAAAUGCAUGAUUGCAUCAACUUGGAGUCACUUUGUAUAUGAUAUAAAUACAUACAUCUCACUCCAUGUGGAGGCAUGGCAAAAAAUUCUUUGCCUUUAUUACUAAAGCAGAUUUUGCGGUUGUCUUGAGGCUGAGCGUGAACCCAUCUAAGUGCAAUGCCCUAUAUUAAUGAGAACAUGCAUUUUCAGAUUCACACUUGCCUGCACUUCCUUUGUAUAUUAUCGAUUCAGAUCCCAAAGUGAAUAGGCUCCUGUUUGGUUUGGAUAAAAAUCAGAUUUUGAUAAAAAUUGAUGGAAUGAGUCAUUAAAAAGUUGUGGAUUUCAUAAUUGCGUAGUUAAAAUUAAUUGUUGAUUUUGAUUUAAAUUUCUAAUCCAUUUUUUCAAUUGAACCAAAGAAGGGCUAGAAGUGGAAUUGUUUUGUCAUAAUUGAAUGAUUUUUGACAUAAUGAAUAGGUGUUUAGGUAUCGUUCAUUCGGGAAAUAUAACUCUGCUGGAUUCAGGAUUUCUUGGGAGUCAUUAACCUCUUAUCUUCAUUUUUACAUGUUCAAUAAUUAAUGUUAGAUGGGUUACAACACUUGAUAUUACAGAAAGACGAAGAAUUCGGUAAGGGGAUAGAAUCACAUCCUACACCCCAUAUGUCAAAGCAGCUUUUAGCCCUGCAACUGGCAAAGCUAAUUGAAAAGAAGAAAAAGAAAAAAUAAGAGAGAGACUACACGUACACUAAGGCAACCCCC